CGGAGGGUGCAAGCGUUAUCCGGAUUCACUGGGUUUAAAGGGUGCGUAGGCGGCCUGAUAAGUCAGUGGUGAAAGCUUCCAGCUUAACUGGGAAACUGCCAUUGAAACUGUCAGGCUUGAGUACAAUUGAAGUGGGCGGAAUACAUCAUGUAGCGGUGAAAUGCUUAGAUAUGAUGUAGAACACCGAUUGCGAAGGCAGCUCACUAAAUUGCAACUGACGCUGAGGCACGAAAGCGUGGGUAGCGAACAGGAUUAGAUACCCUGGUAGUCCACGCCCUAAACGAUGAAUACUCGAUGUAUGGAGCAUUUGGCUCUAUGCGUCCAAGCGAAAGCGUUAAGUAUUCCACCUGGGGAGUACGGCCGCAAGGUUA
rnacentral:rRNA from 1 species